UUGCAAAUAGAGAUAAAUUGAAUAAGAUAUAUUUAGAUUUAACAAUACAUGGUCUUUCAUUUUGCUUGAUAAGUGGUAUGCUGUUCUUUGCUGAAAUAAUAGAAGCAGUCAUUUCCUGUUUCUAAAAUAAAAAUAUGCUUAUACAUAAACUCUCAUAAAAUAAUUAAGGAAUGUGUUUUGUUAACAUCAAUCUUCAACUAGUCUUGUACAUUACUGUUAAUUCUUACGUGUAUAUAGAAAAGUUUGGACUACAUGAGAUGUAGUCUCAGCCUAUCUAGGUCAGUCAUCUGGGCAUAUGGGUAUAUGAGUUAGCAUAAUCUGAAUAAGUUUUGGGUACACAGCCCCAGUAACUUUUACCUAUUUUGAGCAGAAUUGACUUGGUGCAGCACUAUUGAUAUCAUGCAUGGACAGAAAGCUCUGGGCUGGACAUGAAGUCUGUACAACAUACAAUUAUCUGAUUUGGGGUGGCCAAAAAUGAAUUUGUCUUGUAUCUGUAAAUCUAAUUUUUAAAUGAGGUUGUUAAGUAUUACAAUAACAGAAGCAAGGCUGGGUACUUCAGAUGAUUUGUUGAGGUCUUCCUGAGCUUUGUGACUGCUAUGUCUGACUGCAUCUAAUGUGCCUGAGCUACCAUCAUGUCAUUGUCUGUGCUUCCCUCCUAAGACAGUCAUUGAGAGAUGGCCUCCUUUCAGGACUCACGUGAGUCACCCUGGAUAAAGAGGAAGACCUAACCAUGUGAACUGUUCAAUUUUGAGAGGCUGUGGGAGAGUCUGAGAAGAUGGAGGAUAAGAGGAAGAGUUUGCUAGAGGAAGAAAUAAGAGAGUUGGAAGGAAAGAAGAAUAAAACAUGGUGUUGUUGGACUGGGUUUUACGGUAGCUAAUGAGAGACAUCUCCCCCAGAUGAUCUGAAGAGGGUCAUUGGAAUGGAGUUCCUAAUGCACAAGGUUGAGAGCAGUUUUCCCCACCAGUCUUAGGGGACAACAGAGCUAGUUGGGAAGGAGAAGUAGGAGGUUACCUGGCUGCUUGGAUGAUAAGAUAGAUUAAACAAGUAGAUAAUGAGACCAGUUACUAGUAGGUGCAUUAUGUGAUUUUAUCAAGUGUAGCUCAGAAAUGGCUGGGUAGAUGUGGUGGAUUAUGAGAGGUAAGAGGGAAGUCAUGGGUGAAGGGGGAUGAUAUCGCCUAUAGGCAUGAUCAUUUGAAGCCGGUUCCCUCUUUGUUCCCCCACCCUCUUCCUAAAAAUCAAGACUGGAGGCCUUAGUCUCUGGCCAGUGCUUAUAAAUGCUAGGUCCUCCUGUAAUAUACUUCAUCCAUUUAAUUGUGAAUGAGAGGGCAGACCUGGUAUGUGUGACCAAGACUUAAAUGGGGAAGGGGAGGGUGUCCCAUUCUCAGAAAUGUGCCCAUUUGGGUUUGAUACCAGCCAUGAACCCAAGGCAGGGGAGGAGGCAAUAGUCGUGCAGAAAGUUCUGCUGGUGACCAGAGGCACAGUUCCUCAGAUAACUGGGUGAGAGGCCUUGUGUCUGGAGUUAGGAUCACUCUUGUAUUGCUCACCCUGCAUGGCAACUUCCGUACCUGAACUCCUGGACCUUAUUUUUGGUGUUGGAGUCCCCCGGUAUACCUUAUCUUACCUCUUGGCAUUUAGGAAAGUUGCUAAAACCUGGCUGUUCUGCAAAGUCGUUGGGAUUGAUGGUACAGUGGGUCCCCUUCUUACCAUUAGCAGUUGAUGUAACCUUCGUCUUCUCUCUGCUGAUGACGCAUAGGAAAUUUUUAUGUGUAUUAUUGUUGAAUUUAAUUGUUAUGUUAUUGUUAUUUUAUCUGUUGUAUUUGUAAACCGCUUAGAGCUUUUUCUGGUGGAUUGAGCAGCAUAUAAAACUCAGAAAUAUUUUUUUUUCAAAGGCAUUCUUAAUUAUAUUGCACUGUUGUUUACCUUGAAGGGCACUUUCAUUACAGAUGUAUCACAUGGAGUAAUUCUUUUUCAAAUGUAGACCCAGUGUUACAAAAAGAUUAGGUUUACAUUUACUUUAUUUGCUGAGUUUUCAUCUGAAUUUAUUAUGUAAAUAAAUACCCAACUUCAGCCUCAUCCCUGUAUGACUGAAGCCAGUUAGUUCACUCAGCAGAAUGGGAAAUAACCAGCUGCACUUAGUUACUCACAUGAACUUAAAUAGGUCAAUUAAUCAUUAUUCUAGCAGAAACACAGGGCUGGGUACUUCAUGACAAAUAAUAAAAAUUAUUGGGGGCAUACAGUCAUCCAUCAAUUUUUAAUUGCUAAAUUCAUCAACGUGGAUGAAAUAAUGCCAGUGAUAGCCAUGCACUGAGUCAUGUGCUGAGGUAGGCUGUUCAUUCCUACUCUUUGUAACUCUGAAUAUUUAGAAUGAACACAGCCCUUCAGCUACAGCCAUCUGAAAGAAGCCUGCUGCAGCCACCUUAGUUAAUUGGGGAAAUUUCAAAUGUGUAUGUAAUGGGAAGUUAAAUAAGAUUUCACAAAUAGAGAUAUUAUGAAAAUUCAUCCUUAUAAUAUAUUGUUACAACCUCCGUUGCGGAAGGUGUUGCUUACCUGCCUAAAGGAGAAAGAUUUUCCUGAACAUUUUUGUAAGGUUUUACUUGUUCAGCAUGUAAAAGUCUUCAAUGGGAGUAUUAUAAAAUGGUUCCUCAGGCUGCACCAAGAUAAAAUGAGAACCGAAGCAGGUGUUAGUUGCUGAUAAACUCUGAACUAUUGUUGCAUUAACAUUUCACUUAGAAGGCUAAAAGUUAUGCACUGUAUUUCAUUUCAUGCAAUGCCAAAGUGUGGAAGAAAUAAGAGAGAUGUGCUUAUUUAAAUUCAGAUGUCCCUUUUCCUAGGUCAACUUUAUCUUAGAUGUUUAUACCCAGUCUUCUUGUACACAGCUGUCAGCAGUCGAUUCACCCAACAGGAAAACAACCUCUUUCCUUGCUUCCGAGAUGUAAUAAAAAGUUUGGCAAAAAAGAAAAUGCCAAAGGCAGGAGCUGCCAUCACUGGCUCCGUGGUGUGAAGGACUUGCUUUCAUCACUGGAGAGAAGAUGCUGGAGCAGAGGCCCUGUCUGCAAGAGGCUUCAGUCCUCUUCAGGAUCCUUCAGUGUUCUUUGGACUCUAAAAGCCCAUCUCCAGUUUCUGAAGCUUAUUUCACUAGCCAAAGAAGGCAUGAGCAGUAGGGAUAAAGACCCUGCUAUGAAGUCACAUUAUCAUCUAUGUCACCUAGACUGGAAGCUUCCCAGUGCAUACUCAGCUGUCUCAGAUUCUCUUGAAGUGCUGUCUGAAGAUUUCACAAUUCUCUAUUUUUAUCUCUUCCACCACCAAUUGUUUUGCAUGUGAUUACUUAAAGUUAAAAAGAUUUUAACUUUGUUUUUAAUAAAAUUAAUUU